rnacentral:tRNA from 3 species
GGGCCUAUAGCUCAGUUGGUUAGAGCAGAGGACUCAUAAUCCUUUGGUCGCAGGUUCGAGCCCUGCUGGGCCUACCA